UACGAAGGGGGCUAGCGUUGUUCGGAUUUACUGGGCGUAAAGCGCACGUAGGCGGUUUGUUAAGUCAGGGGUGAAAUCCCGGAGCUCAACUCCGGAACUGCCUUUGAUACUGGCAAGCUAGAGUCCGGAAGAGGUAAGUGGAACUCCGUAGUGUAGAAGUGGAAUUCGUAGAUAUUAGGAAGAACACCAGUGGCGAAGGCGGCUUACUGGUCCGGAACUGACGCUGAGGCGCGAAGGCUAGGGUAGCAAACAGG
rnacentral:rRNA from 1 species